GAUGACGUCACAGUCACAUUUUUGCACACACACACAAGUUCCCCUACUCCACCUCUGGACCUUUCAUGGCAGGAAAGCCCCAUCGUUUUGCAACACGCAUGCUGGCUUGUAAUACGCAUGAAAACAACUGCAUAUGUGCCUUGGCAGACGGGCCUUUUCCGCCUCAUUCCUGGAAUUGGUGUGACCAGUCUUAUUGGAGAAAGAGAGUUCGGCUAACCAGGAAGUGCCAACUUGGGAACUUUUGGAGGAAGGAAAUCACAGAUGCGUCAAGAACAGGAAGACUGAUUAGCCAUGCAGAAUUCCUGGAAGAGUCUGGCUAUGGUCCAUCCUGGGGCCGACACAGCGCAUGAAGGGGGCUCGGUGGAGAAGAUGGUUAGCACAUUGACCUGAACACAUGGAAAUAAUCAUCUCCAUCACUGUCAUUGUUUUUGACCAAGAGGAAUUUGUGGAACGUUGGCUUGAUCCUGCUUCUGUCAUUUCAUAGGUCAUUUCAGUUGUGACUUG